UGGAAGUAAAAGUCGUAACAAGGUCUCCGUAGGUGAACCUGCGGAGGGAUCAUUACACAAUAUGAAGGCGGGCUGGACACCCUCCAGCCGGGCACUGCUUCACGGCGUGCGCGGCUGGAGCCGGCCCUGCUGAAUUAUUCACCCGUGUCUUUUGCGUACUUCUUGUUUCCUGGGUGGGCUCGCCCGCCAUCAGGACCAACCAUAAACCUUUUUGUAAUAGCAAUCAGCGUCAGUAACAACGUAAUUAAUUACAACUUUCAACAACGGAUCUCUUGGUUCUGGCAUCGAUGAAGAACGCAGCGAAAUGCGAUACGUAGUGUGAAUUGCAGAAUUCAGUGAAUCAUCGAAUCUUUGAACGCACAUUGCGCCCUUUGGUAUUCCAAAGGGCAUGCCUGUUCGAGCGUCAUUUGUACCCUCAAGCUUUGCUUGGUGUUGGGCGUCUUUUGUCUCCAGCUCGCUGGAGACUCGCCUUAAAGUCAUUGGCAGCCGGCCUACUGGUUUCGGAGCGCAGCACAAGUCGCGCUCUUGCCCAGCCAAGGUCAGCGUCCAGCAAGCCUUUUUUCAACCUUUGACCUCGGAUCAGGUAGGGAUACCCGCUGAACUUAAGCAUAUCAAUAAGCGGAGGAA
rnacentral:misc_RNA from 1 species